rnacentral:rRNA from 1 species
AGUGGGGAAUAUUGCACAAUGGGGGAAACCCUGAUGCAGCGACGCCGCGUGAACGAAGAAGGUAUUCGUAUCGUAAAGUUCUGUCCUAUGGGAAGAUAAUGACAGUACCAUAGAAGAAAGCUCCGGCUAAAUACGUGCCAGCAGCCGCGGUAAUACGUAUGGAGCGAGCGUUGUCCGGAAUUAUUGGGCGUAAAGGGUACGCAGGCGGUUUAAUAAGUCGAAUGUUAAAGAUCGGGGCUCAACCCCGUAAAGCAUUGGAAACUGAUAAACUUGAGUAGUGGAGAGGAAAGUGGAAUUCCUAGUGUAGUGGUGAAAUACGUAGAUAUUAGGAGGAAUACCAGUAGCGAAGGCGACUUUCUGGACACAAACUGACGCUGAGGUACGAAAGCGUGGGGAGCAAA